rnacentral:antisense_RNA from 17 species
AGUCAUAACUGCUAUUCUCCAGGAAUAGUGAUUGUGAUUAGCGAUGCGGGUGUGUUGGCGCACAUCCGCACCGCGCU